UACGGAGGAUGCAAGCGUUAUCCGGAUUUAUUGGGUUUAAAGGGUGCGUAGGCGGCUUCUUAAGUCAGUGGUGAAAUCCCGGAGCUCAACUUCGGAAUUGCCAUUGAUACUGGGAAGCUUGAAUUUGGUUGAGGUAGGCGGAAUGUAGCAUGUAGCGGUGAAAUGCAUAGAUAUGCUACAGAACACCGAUUGCGUAGGCAGCUUACUAAACCGAUAUUGACGCUGAGGCACGAAAGCGUGGGGAGCGAACAGG
rnacentral:misc_RNA from 1 species